rnacentral:rRNA from 1 species
GAUGAACGCUGGCGGCGUGCCUAAUACAUGCAAGUCGAGCGAACGGACGAGAAGCUUGCUUCUCUGAUGUUAGCGGCGGACGGGUGAGUAACACGUGGAUAACCUACCUAUAAGACUGGGAUAACUUCGGGAAACCGGAGCUAAUACCGGAUAAUAUUUUGAACCGCAUGGUUCAAAAGUGAAAGACGGUCUUGCUGUCACUUAUAGAUGGAUCCGCGCUGCAUUAGCUAGUUGGUAAGGUAACGGCUUACCAAGGCAACGAUGCAUAGCCGACCUGAGAGGGUGAUCGGCCACACUGGAACUGAGCCACGGUCCAGACUCCUACGGGAGGCAGCAGUAGGGAAUCUUCCGCAAUGGGCGAAAGCCUGACGGAGCAACGCCGCGUGAGUGAUGAAGGUCUUCGGAUCGUAAAACUCUGUUAUUAGGGAAGAACAUAUGUGUAAGUAACUGUGCACAUCUUGACGGUACCUAAUCAGAAAGCCACGGCUAACUAC